GUCUAUGGCAAUGGCACCCUGAAAGUGCCCGAUCUUGUCUGAUCUCGGAAGCUAAGCAGGGUCAGGCCUGGUUAGUACUUGGAUGGGACACCACCUAGGAAGACCAGAUGCUGUAGGUG
rnacentral:rRNA from 1 species